UUCAGUCAAGGUUCCCUGCCUGGCUUUAAACCCUGCUUUGUCUGGGAUUUCUGGGUUCCCUGAGCUCCCUGGGUGCCCUGCCUCCUCUAUCCUCUCUGCCUCUUCUGGCUGCCCUGGCUGGCUUCCCCAGUCUCCCUCCUGGCUUCCCUGGCACCCCUUCUUCCCAGGCUCCCUGGGCUCCCUGGCUCCUCCUUGCCUUCCUUCCUGGUCCCUGGGUGCUGCUCUGCCUCCCCAGGCUUCUCCGCCUCCUCUGUCUGCCCUGGAUUGCCUCCCUGAUGUCCUUGCUUCCCGGGCCCCCUUCCUUCCCUGGCUGCUUGCCUUCCUCUGUGCUCCUGGCCUGGCUGCCAGCCUCCUUGCCUUCACCCAGGGGCAUCAGCACAGGCCACCCUCCCUCCUAGUCCUCACUGUCCACGUGGCCAUCCCAUUUUGGUGAUUCUCCCAUCCAGAGUUCUGUGGAGUACACCCUGCUGAUCCCCACACGCUGAUGGCUCUCUGCCCUCUCAGCCCUAAUCCCUAAUCAGCCCCAUAUUCUUUUCCACUUUUUUAAAAUGAAAAUCCUGGGGGCUGGGUGUUUAACUCAGCGGCAUAAACACCUGCCUUGCAAGCAGGGGGUCCUGAAUUCGAUCCCCGGUACAGAUAAAAAUGAAAAAGACCAAGAAAAAAAAAUGAAAUGAAAACCCUGCCUCUGAAAUCCUGAGUCCACCCCAUAAUGCCAUCCUCCUCCUCAGCCAAUGAGCGAGCCAGGAAGUGAGUGAAGGGAAAGGGGACUUCCGGGACACCAGGGUGGUGCCACAGGAGGAGAUGAAAGGAUUAGGGGCCAGGUUGAUGGGAUCUGCAGCCAGCAUGGAGGGAUUAGCUGGGCUGCACGGGCGUGGCCAGAUCUUGGGCUCCUGGGCUCCAGGGUUUCCCAUGCAUUCUCCCUGACUGACCUCAAGCCUUAACAAGCUCAGGCACCAGACACCAUGCAGCAGGAGUUAACCAGCCCACACAGCCAGACCUCUGGCUGGCCCUCCAGAGCUCCCCUUCCCUGCUUUCUCUCUCCAUUCCCCUCCAGGUUCCCAGGACCCCUCUUGCUGGCCCAGCUCCUGGCUCCCAGCUCUCCCAGGAGCUCUGCCUGCUUGCCUGGCUACCUGCCUGACUUCAGGGACCCCAUGACAAUGCGGACCAAGAAGAGAUGGGGACAACAGCCAUCUGCCAUGCAUCGAGUGAGGUUCCUGGGACUUGGCACUCCCAGCUCCUGGAUCCUGGCUCACCAUGCAUCUCCUCCCUCCUGCCAGCCUGCCUGCCCUCCAGGACCCCGUGAUGAUGCGGGCCACGAUGAGUUGAGGCGGACAACAGCUGUCCACCAGACAGCCAGCAAGGUUCCUGGAACCCAGCUCUCUGGGCUCAGGGCUCUGGCCCCCCCAGCUGCAGCCUCCCAGCUCCAAGCUGCCGGCUCUGCUGGAAGCUCCUACCUGCCUGCCUGCCUGACUGCCUGCUGGCCUUCCUGCCUUCCAGGACCCCACGACGAUGAGCAAGAGGAGAUGAGGGGGACCACAGCCAUCCAGCACACACCACAGCACAGCCAGAUGACCACCUGGGCUGGCUGUUGGUGUAGACCAUGAGCAUCUAUAGGCUCAGAUCCCAGAGCAUAUACUUUGUGCAGGGAAGGUUUCCCACGUGGCACUGCGGCUUAGGUCGGAGACUGGAGGCCACUGGGUUCCAUACCAAUCUCUGAUGGCUGCUGCUGGACACCAGUACCCUCUGAGGUGGUGCCAGGACCCUCGGAUGGCUAUAGAUAUGUAUCCUGCCCGUUUCUACUGUGCACGUGUGUGUGAGUGUGUGGGGGAUGCCUUGCCCCAGCAGGGCCCUCCUACAUGUUCGGGCCAAGGGGUCAGGAGAUUCGUAAGGAAGGCUAUGACCAAGGAAGGAGGCCAUCGGGGAGCACCAGGGGGCACCCGCACAGCUGACACACAAAUGGACGUGAGGGUCACAUGGACUGGUUCACCUGUCUGUGGCAAGUGAAGACAGAAGAACUGUACCGACACACAGAUGGGCACAUUUUCCUGGGGCCCAUGUCUUCGAGGAACCUGCAGCCUUGUCACCCUCUGUCUAUCUGUCUGAUCAGAAGGGAGUUACCUUGUUACCUGCCACCAAGGGUGCCAUAGCAAGCGGUGGCUGUGUCUGAUGACAGACAGGAGAGAGGUGGUGCCACGUGUUGUUGGCUGUCUCUGUCUUUGGGCUGCAUGUAGGGGAACUCAGGGUUGUGUGUGUAUAGGGCUGGGUCAGCAUCCAGUGUGUGCCAGGACUGGCCUGGGUCCUUCUGAGAGCAGGCACAGCCCCUGGAAUGAAUUCCUGCUGUUGGUCUUGCCUGCCUCCAUGGGGCCUCCAAUGUUGGGGUCUUUUCCCCCUACCCUUACCUUCAUCCUGGGCUCUGCAUAGAUCCUUCAGGCUCAUACGAUGGUCUGCAUCAUGCCCACUAGCUACCCUCCAGGGCUAACAAUGGAAGGUUGUUGGGGUCACAGAGCAGCCUGAUAUUGGCUCCUCCUCUGAGGUUGAGGAAAGAGCAGUGCCAGUACCCUCUAAAGGGACUGAAUCUCUCUGUAGAGCACAGCCUAGUGUGACCCAUAUAGUUCCACCCUCCAACUGGGAGGGGGACUGAAGACCUCUAGUUCUGAUGAGCCCACCCAUCACUGAUGAAUGUCAGAUUCUAAUUAAGUCACUUCCAGCAGGACUUCUAGAGCCAGGAGGUGGUUGUUGAGGAUUUGGGGAGCAGUGUAUUAAGUUGCGGGAGUGGCCCUGGGGGGGUUCAUGUUAGGUCUACCAGAGGGGUGAGGGUUAGAGAUCUGCUGGGAUUAGGGAGCCAGUGGCUUAGAGAAGCCCCUAUUCACAUGAACCCCCACCUCCUACUCCAUCCCCCACCCACCACAAAGGAAUGCCAGUUUAGAUGCUGGAUUAGAAUCAACCCCACCCUAGAGGAAGUUGCUGUGUUGUACCAAAAAGCAACUUGACAGUCUAGUUGAAUUGUUCCCCAUGGAAAAAUUUAUUGCAUUUCUCUUUUCCUAACGUAGCAUCCUGAAACAUGGAGAAAUCACUGGCUCACCUUAAAAGUCCCAUCAGAGCAGCAAAAGGAGCCAGCCAGCAGGGUGAACCACGCCCCUUCCCCAGGCCUGCCUCACACAGGAGACAAAAAUCAGCCCUCUUACUUCACCAAAGGAGGCGGGAGGAGAAAGGUGUCUGUCUGUCUGUCUGAUGCUGAGUGAAAAUCCAUGUCAACCUCUAGCUGAAUGUCAUUUCCAGUGGGAUACCUGUCUGCCUGUUUGGUUUGGUGGUUCUCAGAUCCAGAGAUCCGUGAAAAAACACAGAAAGAGUGUUCAGGCUUGGCUCCCUGGCUCCCAGCCUCCUGCGCUCACACUGGGCACUGAUGAGUGCAGGUUCACAACACAAACAUGCUCCCCCCGCAUCCACCCACACCCCAACUCUAACAACCCACACAGAUGUCCUGAUCAUCACCUAUAAAACUGGCAUAUGAAGCUCAGCUCGGCUCAGCACUGCACUGCUCUGCUUCACUUGGCUCUGCUCAGCUGGGCUCCAUAAACCCCACAUGUGUCUGUCUAUCCAUUUGCCCCCUGAUUGGACUGACUCCUAGAUCAUCAUCCAUGAACCCACUUGGGACCCGUUUCUCUCUGUUUGCUCUCUCUCUCUCUCUCUCUCUCUCUCUCUCUCUCUCUCUCUCUCUCUCUCUCUCUGCUUUUUGUCGUGCAAGGGGCCUUGCUUUUAGCUGUCUCUCAGCUGUCCUUGUGGCCCUAUGCCUUUUUUCACUCUCUCCUCCCUGCUUUUUCUCAGACCCUAACACCACACACACCCUUAUGCCUUGAUCUUCACCCGAGAGCCUAACACUCAGGGCUCAGCUGAGCUCUGCUGAUGGAUCCCAGAUCUACCUACUCCUCUUCCUGCCUGUCUGCUGGGAUUCCCACAUCUGUCCUACACAAACACCUUUGGAUCCUCUCUCCGAUCCCUCCCUGUUUUCAUCCCCAGUCCUGUCCCUUUUACCACCCAUCUGCACACUCUCUGUACCUUUCUCUGAGCCCUUAGACUCUUUCUGCCUCACUCUCUCUGUCUGUCUCUCUGUCUCUGUCACUGUCUCUGUCUCUGUCUGUUUCUCUGUCUUUCUCUGUCUCUGCUUUCCUCUGGCCUUUGCCUAGUUUGGGUUCUCUCUGGUUUUGUUUGCAGGGGGAGGAGCUGCAGUCUUUUUUCACUCUCUCGGGUUUUCUCCCUCCCUGGGCUGCUUUCAGUCUCUCUCUGCUUUCUUACCUUCCCCUGGGCUUUUUGGGGCUGGGUCUCAGUUGUUUGUGCAGCCUCACCCAUGUCUCUGUUAACUGGGGCCUUCCCCACUCUUUUACAGACCGUAACAUCACACAGACACACACACACACACACACACACACACACACACACACACACACACACAUACACACACACACACCUAUGCCCUGAUCAUCAACCAUGAGCCUAACACACACAGCAGCUCAGCUCAGCUCAGCUCAGUGGAUUCUAAUCUAAGCCUCUGCCUGGGUCUUGCUGCUGGGAUUGCCCUGUCUGUCUUCAGUCCCUUUGCCUCUUUUGGAUCCCUCCCUCCAUCCCUCAUUCCCCAGUUUAUCCCCCCCCCUCCUUUCCCAUUUACCACUGGCUGGGCUGUCCCCUCUGUGCUAUUCUCCGGGGGGCCCUUUAACUCUUUGGACAUCUCUGUCUCUGGCUGUUUCUCCAUCUCUGUCUCUGUCUCUUUCUUUGCUUUUCUCAGGACCUCUGCUCUUUGAAGUUUUACAUUCUUGCCUUUUGGCUCUGGGCUCUGUGCUCUGGUUUCUGUGCUGUGGUCUCUGGGCUCUUGGAGGCUGGGCACAGAGUGGAGGGGACUGAGUGAGUGAGUGGGCUGCCUGGGAGUGGCAGACAGGAUGCAGGGAGUGGAGUAGGGUGGCAACAGGGUGUUGGUUCCGGAGGCUUAGCUAGAGGAGUGCUGGAUUAGGGCAGGCCAGUGGACCCCAGGCAGCUAGGGUUAGGAUGGCCUGGGUUAGAAUUAGCGCAGGGUUGCAGUUUAGCCAGCCUCUGGGCUUAACAGGCAGGGAUUUAGGGAGGCAAUGGGCUGCCACGCCCCAGCAGCCAUGCCACACCCCAGGCUGGAUUGGAUCUGCUGUGGGUUCAUGCACCAUGAAUUCCACAGCCUAGGUGAAAUUUUCCAAGUGGGAAAAGUCUGUCUGCUGACUGAACAUCGAAUUCUCCGAGGCUUUCCUGCUUCCUCUCAGCAUCCAAGGCCUCCGAGGUUCUCCUGUGUCCCUGAGUCCCUGGCUCUCUGAUUUCCAAGAUUGGGCAGAGUUCAGUCAAGGUUCCCUGCCUGGCUUUAAACCCUGCUUUGUCUGGGAUUUCUGGGUUCCCUGAGCUCCCUGGGUGCCCUGCCUCCUCUAUCCUCUCUGCCUCUUCUGGCUGCCCUGGCUGGCUUCCCCAGUCUCCCUCCUGGCUUCCCUGGCACCCCUUCUUCCCAGGCUCCCUGGGCUCCCUGGCUCCUCCUUGCCUUCCUUCCUGGUCCCUGGGUGCUGCUCUGCCUCCCCAGGCUUCUCCGCCUCCUCUGUCUGCCCUGGAUUGCCUCCCUGAUGUCCUUGCUUCCCGGGCCCCCUUCCUUCCCUGGCUGCUUGCCUUCCUCUGUGCUCCUGGCCUGGCUGCCAGCCUCCUUGCCUUCACCCAGGGGCAUCAGCACAGGCCACCCUCCCUCCUAGUCCUCACUGUCCACGUGGCCAUCCCAUUUUGGUGAUUCUCCCAUCCAGAGUUCUGUGGAGUACACCCUGCUGAUCCCCACACGCUGAUGGCUCUCUGCCCUCUCAGCCCUAAUCCCUAAUCAGCCCCAUAUUCUUUUCCACUUUUUUAAAAUGAAAAUCCUGGGGGCUGGGUGUUUAACUCAGCGGCAUAAACACCUGCCUUGCAAGCAGGGGGUCCUGAAUUCGAUCCCCGGUACAGAUAAAAAUGAAAAAGACCAAGAAAAAAAAAUGAAAUGAAAACCCUGCCUCUGAAAUCCUGAGUCCACCCCAUAAUGCCAUCCUCCUCCUCAGCCAAUGAGCGAGCCAGGAAGUGAGUGAAGGGAAAGGGGACUUCCGGGACACCAGGGUGGUGCCACAGGAGGAGAUGAAAGGAUUAGGGGCCAGGUUGAUGGGAUCUGCAGCCAGCAUGGAGGGAUUAGCUGGGCUGCACGGGCGUGGCCAGAUCUUGGGCUCCUGGGCUCCAGGGUUUCCCAUGCAUUCUCCCUGACUGACCUCAAGCCUUAACAAGCUCAGGCACCAGACACCAUGCAGCAGGAGUUAACCAGCCCACACAGCCAGACCUCUGGCUGGCCCUCCAGAGCUCCCCUUCCCUGCUUUCUCUCUCCAUUCCCCUCCAGGUUCCCAGGACCCCUCUUGCUGGCCCAGCUCCUGGCUCCCAGCUCUCCCAGGAGCUCUGCCUGCUUGCCUGGCUACCUGCCUGACUUCAGGGACCCCAUGACAAUGCGGACCAAGAAGAGAUGGGGACAACAGCCAUCUGCCAUGCAUCGAGUGAGGUUCCUGGGACUUGGCACUCCCAGCUCCUGGAUCCUGGCUCACCAUGCA